ensembl:snRNA U6 U6 spliceosomal RNA
GUGCUUGUUUCUUCAGCACAUAAACUAAAAUUGGAAUGAUACAGAGAAGAUUAGCACGGCCCCUGUGCAAAGAUGACAUGCAAAUUCAUGCAGCGUUCCUAUUUUUU